GAAACUCAAUUACGCAAUAAAG
rnacentral:snRNA from 1 species